rnacentral:lncRNA from 1 species
UGGCGUGGCGUCAGUGACAAAACAAAAUUUAGUAAGCUUUCGUCGGAAGUCAUUGAUUCCCGGUUCCGCGACAAAGUGUGGACAUUUGUGGUUCGAAGGUAGAUUCGUCGGAAGUGAGUGGUUCCCGAUUCCCGGUUCCGCGACAAACAAAAAGUGGACGUUUUUUGAUCGAUGGUAGUUGAAGCCGGUCCGCAAUCCGGACUGCAAAGGACAGCUGGCCAUUUUUGCCGUAGAUGGUCGAUCCCGGUCGGUGGACAAACGGGAGUGGACAAUUUUGGCUCGAAUUUGGUCGACCCAGGUCCGCAAUCCCGACUGCAACUGGCCGAACGGCAGCUGGCCAUUUUGGCCGUAGGUAGUCGAUCCCGGUCGGUGGACAAACGGGAGUGGACAAUUUUGGUUCGAAUUUGGUCGACCCAGGUCCGCAAUCCCGACUGCAACUGGCCGAACGGCAGCUGGCCAUUUUGGCCGUAGGUAGUCGAUCCCGGUCGGUGGACAGACGGAGAGUGGACAAUUUUGGGUCGAAGUUGGUUGACCCAGGUCCGCAAUCCGGACUGCAACUGGUUGAACGGCAGCCGGCCACUUUGGAAGUAGGUAUCCCGGCCGUUGGACACACGGAGAGUGGACAAUUCUGGUUCGAAGUUGGUUGAACCGGGUCCGCAAUCCAGACAGCAACUGGCCGAACAGCCAGGGGCGAAAACAGCCCUCUUCGCGCGCCGGAAAACUGAUCUGGCCGAACGGCAACUGCCCAAUUUGGCCGUAGUUGGUCGAUCCCGGUCGGUGGACAGACGGGAGUGGACAAUUUUGGGUCGACCCAGGUCCGCCAUCCCGACUGCAACUGGCGAACGGCAGCUGGCCAUUUUGGCCGUAGGUGGACUGACGGAGAGUGGACAAUUUUGGGUCGAAGUUGGUUGACCCGGGUCCGCAAUCCGGACUGCAACUGACCGAACAGCAAGUGGCGAGAACAGCCCUCUUCGCGCGCCACUGCCAAAUUUGGCCUUAGGUGGUCGAUCUCGAUCGGUGGACAGGCGGGAGUGGACAAUUUUGGGUCGAAUUUGGUCGACCCAGGUCCGCCAUCCCAACUCGACUGGCCGAACGGCAGCUGGCCAUUUUGGCCGUAGGUGGUCGAUCCCGGUCGGUGGACAGACGGAGAGUGGACAAUUUUGGGUCGAAGUUGGUUGACCCAGGUCCACAAUCCGGACUGCAGCUGGCCGAACAGCAAGUGGCGAGAACAGCCCUCUUCGCGCGCCUGAAAACUUCUGUCAACUCCGGUCUCCGGUCAACUCCGGUUACAGAUGGAAGGAUUCGAGGAAAACUUCUGGAAGAAGGCGGAAGCACAAUUGAAGUGCCCCGUGCCCGCGCAUCUGAAGAGAGUGCUGCAAAGAACGGGGUACUUGAACUGUGCCUUGGAGGAUCUAAGUGAAGGCCAGAUACGGUCCAUCGAGGAAGACAUCAGAAGCCUCCCAGAACUUACGAACCUUCGACCCGGAAAUCCAAAAAUUGCUGAAUUCUGUGGGGAAUAUACAGAGAAAUGUGCAGACUUCAAGUUGAU